rnacentral:lncRNA from 1 species
UUAUUCGGGCACAUAUUAAAAUAUAUGAAGAAAAAAAUCCACUUACUAUAAAUACAAGUGAUACAAUACCCAUAUAAUGUUCAAGGAAAUAUCCGUAUAAACAGAACCGUUAAUUAGUCAGACACAAAUCCACACCCGAGAAGCACACUGCACAGGGUUGAAACUUUUAAGCCUCACAUUCCCAAGCAAUCUUAAGGAGGGCCAACAGAAUUGAAAUCACAGAUGCAAAGUAUCAGCAGUUAGUAAUAUUUAUACACACAGCUUCUUUAUUGUAGUCAUAUGAUGAUGAAAUCAGUACGUAAAUCAGCACCAAGGAUAGCCGAUCAGACAAACAAAAAUUCUGCAUCCCGCUGAAAAACACUAUUAUGCAAGACUCAUUUUAAAAGGCCCUCAGUUCUAAUUUCUAUAAGAGCUUGAAGCUUUGGAGCCAAGGCUACGAACCUUCAAAUCCAACCAAACAUCUUACCAUGCAAACACGGUAAAAUGGGAAAGAAAGACUAAAUGUGACGCACCAAAAGCGGAAGAAAAUGUUGAACGACCUGGGCGUGAGGAUUGUGCCGGUGACCUGGUGACGCCGAGCAGCGCGUGGAUGUGGACCAGGAUGACGGUGGUGGCGGCGCCCUCCUCGUCGACCUUCAGCAGCUCGCUAGAGUCUACAAUGCUCAUACUUUGCAUCAAGUAAACCCAUCUCACUAAGAACGGGAAUGAGCAUCGCCCUUUGGCAUGCUCUGCCUUUGGCAUGAUCUUGAUAGCAUCCGCUUCCUACAAUAGAACAUGCAAAGAGAACAUAAUGAGGAUAAUAUUAUGCAUGCACCACUCUGCACAAAAACCUCUCCAAGGAAGCAGCUUUUAUUACUCUACCUCCAGUUCUCUAGCUUUCAAUAUUAAAGGAAAAAAGCAAUUCCCACUAAUUGUAUAGCACAUAGAUAAACCCCAGAUUACAAUACACAAAACAGAGCAAAACUUCUUCAUAAUUCAAUUAAAAUGAGGCCAUAUGCAUCAUGAUUAAAGUUGCUCCCUGUAUUGUAUAUACAACCAUGAUUCAAAGUGCUCCUUGUACUGUAUAUACAACCAUGUAUAUACAACUAUAUCAUUUAUAGGCCAUGUAUAUACAACUUAAGAAAACAUAAAUACAUAACUGCAUAUGCAUCUGCAUAUAACAAAGCAGGUGAUCCAAUCUACAAAUAUUACAAUAGCAAUUGUGGCAGCACAAAAAGUGUAAUUGGACAUCACCAUUUAACAACUAAGGCUAUAAAAUAAUAGAUGAUUAUGCAGAUAGCAAAGAAAGAUUCAACAUUAUUGUGUCAUUGACAACUUUUUCAGGUAGUAGCAAAUCAACAUAUCUGCUGCUAAUAGAAACAGAAUCCGGAUCUCCUUUAGGGAGGAGCACAUACAGAGAAGAGAAGGAGUAGGUGUUCGUCACCAGAUGAUCAUUUUGCUCGGAGACAAAGAUGAGGAACUGGACCCAGCCGAUAGGUCGUUCUUGGUUUCCAUGUCUAGUUGGGUUAAUUCAGAAUCUGUUUAGAUCUUUUCUACACUACUGCCAUGCUGUGCUAUAAGCCAAAACCAGAUAACCAGGUCAAAAUCCUAGCUGUGACUUUAACGGUUCUGUUGGAAAUAUGCCCUAGAGGCAGUAAUAAAAUGGUUAUUAUUAUAUUUCCUUGUUCAUGAUAAUUGUCUAUUGUUCAUGCUAUAAUUAUGUUAUCCGGAAAUCGUAAUACAUGUGUGAAUACAUAGACCACAAUAUGUCCCUAGUGAGCCUCUAGUUGACUAGCUCGUUGAUCAACAGAUAGUCAUGGUUUCCUGACUAUGGACAUUGGAUGUCAUUGAUAACGGGAUCACAUCAUUAGGAGAAUGAUGUGAUGGACAAGACCCAAUCCUAAGCAUAGCACAAGAUCGUGUAGUUCGUUUGCUAGAGUUUUUCCAAAUGUCAAGUAUCAUUUCCUUAGACCAUGAGAUUGUGCAACUGCCGGAUACCAUAGGGUGCUUUGGGUGUGCCAAACGUCACAACGUAACUGGGUGGCUAUAAAGGUGCACUACGGGUAUCUCCGAAAGUGUCUGUUGGGUUGGCACGAAUCGAGACUGUGAUUUGUCACUCCGUAUGACGGAGAGGUAUCUCUGGGCCCACUCGGUAAUGCAUCAUCAUAAUGAGCUCAAUGUGACCAAGUGUUUGGUCACGGGAUCAUGCAUUACGGUACGAGUAAAGUGACUUGCCGAUAACGAGAUUGAACAAGGUAUUGGGAUACCGACGAUCGAAUCUCGGGCAAGUAACGUACCGAUUGACAAAGGGAAUUGUAUACGGGAUUGAUUGAAUCCUCGACAUCGUGGUUCAUCCGAUGAGAUCAUCGUGGAACAUGUGGGAGCCAACAUGGGUAUCCAGAUCCCGCUGUUGGUUAUUGACCGGAGAGUCGUCUCGGUCAUGUCUGCAUGUCUCCCGAACCCGUAGAGUCUACACACUUAAGGUUCGGUGACGCUAGAGUUGUAGAGAUAUUAGUAUGCGGUUAACCGAAAGUUGUUCGGAGUCCCGGAUGAGAUCCCGGACGUCACGAGGAGUUCCGGAAUGGUCCGGAGGUAAAGAUUUAUAUAUGGGAAGUCCUAUUUUGGCCACCGGAAAAUGUUCGGGAUUUUUGGUAUUGUACCGGGAAGGUUCUAGAAGGUUCGGAAGUGGGGCCCACCUGCAUGGGGGACCCACAUGAACGUGGGUAGUGGGGGCAAGGCCCCACACCCCUGGUCAAGGCGCACCAAGAUCCCACCUUAGAAGGAAUAAGAUCAUAUCCCGAAGCGAUAAGAUCAAGAUCCCAAAAAAAGGGGGAUAACAAUCAGUGGGGAAGGGAAAUGAUGGGAUUUCUUUCCCCCACCUUUGCCAACGCCCCAAUGGACUUGGAGGGCAAGAAACCAGCCCCCUCCACCCCUAUAUAUAGUGGGGAGGCGCAUGGGAGCAGGACCCCAAGCCCUGGCACCUCCCUCCCUCCCGUGACACCUCUUCCUCCCGCUUGCGCUUGGCAAAGCCCUGCCGGGAUCCCGCUACUUCCACCACCACGCCGACGUGCUGCUGGAUCUCCAUCCACUUCUCCUCCCCCCUUGCUGGAUCAAGAAGGAGGAGACGUCCCCGCUCCGUACAUGUGUUGAACGCGGAGGUGCCGUCCGUUCGGCGCUAGGAUCAUCGGUGAUUUGGAUCACGACGAGUACGACUCCAUCAACCCUGUUCUCUUGAAUGCUUCCGCGCGCGAUCUACAAGGGUAUGUAGAUGCACUCCCCUCUCUCUCGUUGCUAGAUGACUCCAUAGAUUGAUCUUGGUGAUACAUAGAAAAUUUUAAAUUUCUGCUACGAUCCCCAACAGUGGCAUCAUGAGCUAGGUCUAUGUGUAGUUUCUAUGCACGAGUAGAACACAAACUUGUUGUGGGCGUAGAUGUUGUCAAUUUUCUUGCCACUACUAGUCUUAUCUUGUUUCGGCGGCAUCGUGGGAUGAAGCGGCCCGGACCGACCUUACACGUACGCUUACGUGAGACAGGUUCCACCGACUGACAUGCACUAGUUGCAUAAGGUAGCUAGCGGGUGCCUGUCUCUCCACUUUAGUCGAAUCGGAUUCGAUGAAAAGGGUCCUUAUGAAGGGUAAAUAGAAGUUGGCAUAUCACGUUGUGGUUUUACGUAGGUAAGAAACGUUCUUGCUAGAAACCUAUAGAAGCCACGUAAAAACAUGCAACAACAAUUAGAGGACGUCUAACUUGUUUUUGCAGCAUAUGCCUUGUGAUGUGAUAUGGCCAAAAGGAUGUGAUGAAUGAAAUAUAUGUGAUGUAUGAGAUUGAUCAUGUUCUUGUAAUAGGAAUCACGACUUGCAUGUCGAUGAGUAUGACAACCGGCAGGAGCCAUAGGAGUUGUCUUUAUUUUUUGUAUGACCUGCGUGUCAUUGAAUAACGCCAUGUAAAUUACUUUACUUUAUUGCUAAACACGUUAGCCAUAGAAGUAGAAGUAAUCGUUGGCGUGACAACUUCAUGAAGACAUGAUGAUGGAGAUCAUGGUGUCAUGCCGGUGACGAAUAUGAUCAUGGCGCCCCGAAGAUGGAGAUCAAAGGAGCAAUAUGAUACUGGCCAUAUCAUGUCACUAUUUGAUUGCAUGUGAUGUUUAUCAUAUUUUACAUCUUAUUUGCUUAGAACGACGGUAGCUUAAAUAAGAUGAUCCCUUACAAUAAUUUCAAGAAAGUGUUCCCCCUAACUGUGCACCGUUGCGAAGGUUCGUUGUUUCGAAGCACCACGUGAUGAUCGGGUGUGAUAGAUUCUAACGUUCGAAUACAACGGGUGUAAGCCAGGUUUACACACGCAAUACACUUAGGUUGACUUGACGAGCCUAGCAUGUACAGACAUGGCCUCGGAACACGGAAGACCGAAAGGUCGAGCAUGAGUCGUAUAGAAGAUACGAUCAACAUGAAGAUGUUCACCGAUGUUGACUAGUCCGUCUCACGUGAUGAUCGGACACGGCCUAGUUGACUCGAAUCAUGUUUCACUUAGAUGACUAGAGGGAUGUCUAUCUGAGUGGGAGUUCAUUGAAUAAUUUGAUUAGAUGAACUUAAUUAUCAUGAACUUAGUCUAAAAUCUUUACAAUAUGUCUUGUAGAUCAAAUGGCCCACGCUAAUGUUGCCCUCAACUUCAACGCGUUCCUAGAGAAAACCAAGCUGAAAGAUGAUGGCAGCAAUUAUACGGACUGGGUCCGGAACCUGAGGAUCAUCCUCAUAGCUGCCAAGAAAGAUUAUGUCCUAGAAGCACCGCUAGGUGACGCACCCAUCCCAGAGAACCAAGACGUUAUGAACGCUUGGCAUCGGCAUGCUGAUGAUUACUCCCUCAUUUAGUGCGGCAUGCUUUACAGCUUAGAAUCGGGGCUCCAAAAGCAUUUUGAGCAACACGGAGCAUAUGAGAUGUUCGAAGAGCUGAAAAUGGUUUUCCAAGCUCAUGCCCGGGUCGAGAGAUAUGAAGUCUCCGACAAGUUCUUCAGUUGUAAGAUGGAGAAAAAUAGUUAUGUCAGUGAGCACAUACUCAAAAUGUCUGGGUUACACAACCGCUUGACUCAGCUGGGAGUUAAUCUCCCGGAUGACGCGGUCAUUGACAGAAUCCUUCAGUCGCUUCCAUCGAGCUACAAGAGCUUUGUGAUGAACUUCAAUAUGCAGGGGAUGGAAAAGACCAUUCCUGAGGUAUAUUCAAUGCUGAAAUCAGCGGAGGUGGAGAUCAAAAAGGAACAUCAAGUGUUGAUGGUGAAUAAAACCACUAAGUUCAAGAAAGGCAAGGGUAAGAAGAACUUCAAGAAGGAUGGCAAGGGAGUUGCCGCGCCCGGUAAGCCAGUUGCCGGGAAAAAGCCAAAGAAUGGACCCAAGCCUGAGACUGAGUGCUUUUAUUGCAAGGGAAGUGGUCACUGGAAGCGGAACUGCCCCAGGUACUUAGCGGACAAGAAGGCCGGCAACACCAAAGGUAUAUGUGAUAUACAUGUUAUUGAUGUGUACCUUACCAGCACUCGUAGUAGCUCCUGGGUAUUUGAUACCGGUGCGGUUGCUCAUAUUUGUAACUCAAAGCAGGAGCUGCGGAAUAAACGGAGACUGGCAAAGGACGAGGUGACGAUGCGCGUCGGGAAUGGUUCCAAGGUCGAUGUGAUCGCCGUCGGCACGCUACCUCUACAUUUACCUAUGGGAUUAGUUUUAAACCUCAAUAAUUGUUAUUUAGUGCCAACUUUGAGCAUGAACAUUGUAUCAGGAUCUCGUUUAAUUCGAGAUGGCUACUCAUUUAAAUCCGAGAAUAAUGGUUGUUCUAUUUAUAUGAGAGAUAUGUUUUAUGGUCAUGCCCCGCUGGUUAAUGGUUUAUUCUUAAUGAAUCUCGAACGUAGUGUUACACAUAUUCAUAGUGUGAAUACCAAAAGAUGUAAGGUUGAUAAUGAUAGUCCCACAUACUUGUGGCACUGCCGUCUUGGUCACAUUGGUGUCAAACGCAUGAAGAAGCUCCAUGCUGAUGGACUUUUGGAGUCUCUUGAUUAUGAAUCAUUUGACACGUGCGAACCAUGCCUCAUGGGUAAGAUGACCAAGACUCCGUUCUCCGGAACAAUGGAGCGAGCAACCAACUUAUUGGAAAUCAUACAUACUGAUGUGUGCGGUCCAAUGAGUGUUGAGGCUCGCGGUGGCUAUCGUUAUGUUCUCACUCUCACUGAUGACUUGAGUAGAUAUGGGUAUGUCUACCUAAUGAAACACAAGUCUGAGACCUUUGAAAAGUUCAGGGAAUUUCAGAGUGAGGUUGAGAAUCAACGUGACAGGAAAAUAAAGUUCUUACGAUCAGAUCGUGGAGGGGAAUAUUUGAGUCACGAAUUUGGCACACUUAAGGAAAUGUGGAAUAGUUUCACAACUCACGCCGCCUGGAACACCUCAGCGAAAUGGUGUGUCCGAACAUCGUAAUCGCACUCUAUUGGAUAUGGUGUGAUCUAUGAUGUCUCUUACCGAUCUACCGCUCUCAUUUUGGGGCUAUGCUUUAGAGACUGCCGCAUUCACUUUAAAUAGGGCUCCGUCGAAAUCCGUUGAGACGACACCGUAUGAAUUAUGGUUUGGGAAGAAACCUAAGCUGUCGUUUCUAAAAGUUUGGGGAUGCGAUGCUUAUGUCAAGAAACUUCAACCUGAAAAGCUCGAACCCAAGUCGGAAAAAUGCGUCUUCAUAGGAUACCCUAAGGAAACCAUUGGGUAUACCUUCUACCUCAGAUCCGAAGGCAAGAUCAUUGUUGCCAAGAACGGGUACUUUCUGGAGAAAGAGUUUCUCUCGAAAGAAGUAAGUGGGAGGAAAGUGGAACUUGAUGAAGUACUACCUCUUGAACCGGAAAGUAGCGCAGCUCAGGAAGAUGUUCCUGUGGUGCCUGCACUGACUAGAGAGGAAGCUAAUAAUGAUGAUCAAGGUACUUCGGAUCAAGUUACUACUGAACUUUGUAGGUCCACGAGGACACGUUCCACACCAGAGUGGUAUGGCAACCCUGUCCUAGAAAUCAUGUUGCUAGACAACGGUGAACCUUCGAACUAUGAAGAAGCAAUGGCGGGCCCAGAAUCCAACAAAUGGCUUGAAGCCAUGCAAUCCGAGAUAGGAUCCAUGUAUGAAAACAAAGUGUGGACUUUGACAGACUUGCCCGAUGAUCGGCGAGCAAUAGAAAACAAAUGGAUCUUUAAGAAGAAGACGGACGCGGAUGGUAAUGUUACCAUCUAUAAAGCUCGACUUGUCGCUAAGGGUUAUCGACAAGUUCAAGGGGUUGACUACGAUGAGACUUUCUCACCCGUAGCGAAGCUGAAGUCCGUCCGAAUCAUGUUAGCAAUUGCCGCAUACUAUGAUUAUGAGAUAUGGCAAAUGGACGUCAAAACGGCAUUCCUUAACGGCUUUCUUAAGGAAGAAUUGUAUAUGAUCCAGCCGGAAGGUUUUGUCGAUCCUAAGAAUACUAACAAGGUAUGCAAGCUCCAGCGCUCCAUCUAUGGGCUGGUGCAAGCAUCUCGGAGUUGGAACAUUCGAUUUGAUGAGAUGAUCAAAGCGUUUGGGUUUACACAGACUUAUGGAGAAGCCUGUGUUUACAAGAAAGUGAGUGGGAGCUCUGUAGCAUUUCUCAUAUUAUAUGUGGAUGACAUACUGUUGAUGGGAAAUGAUAUAGAAUUCUUGGGAAGCAUAAAGGCCUACUUGAACAAGUGUUUUUCAAUGAAGGACCUUGGAGAAGCUGCUUAUAUAUUAGGCAUCAAGAUCUAUAGAGAUAGAUCAAGACGCCUCAUUGGUCUUUCACAAAGUACGUACCUUGACAAGAUAUUGAAGAAGUUCAAUAUGGAUCCGUCCAAGAAGGGGUUCUUGCCUGUAUUGCAAGGUGUGCAAUUGAGCACGGCUCAAUGCCCGACCACGGCAGAAGAUAGAGAAAAGACGAGUGUCGUCCCCUAUGCCUCGGCCAUAGGGUCUAUUAUGUAUGCCAUGCUGUGUACCAGACCUGAUGUAAACCUUGCCGUAAGUUUGGUAGGAAGGUACCAAAGUAAUCCCGGCAUGGAACACUGGACAGCGGUCAAGAAUAUCCUGAAGUACCUGAAGAGGACUAAGGAUAUGUUUCUCGUUUAUGGAGGUGACGAAGAGCUCGUCGUAAAGGGUUACGUCGAUGCUAGCUUCGACACAGAUCUGGAUGACUCUAAGUCACAAACCGGAUACGUGUAUAUUUUGAAUAGUGGGGCAGUAAGCUGGUGCAGUUGCAAGCAAAGCGUUGUGGCGGGAUCUACAUGUGAAGCGGAAUACAUGGUGGCCUCAGAGGCAGCACAAGAAGCAAUCUGGGUGAAGGAGUUCAUUACCGACCAAGGAGUUAUUCCCAAUGCGUCGGGCCCGAUGACUCUCUUCUGUGACAACACUGGAGCUAUUGCCCUUGCCAAGGAGCCUAGGUUUCACAGGAAGACCAGGCAUAUCAAGCAUCGCUUCAACUCCAUUCGUGAAAAUGUUCAGGAGACAUAGAUAUUUGUAAAGUACAUACGGACCUGAAUGUAGCAGAUCCGUUGACUAAACCUCUCCCUAGAGCAAAACAUGAUCAACACCAGAACUCUAUGGGUGUUCGAUUCAUCACAAUGUAACUAGAUUAUUGACUCUAGUGCAAGUGAGAGACUGUUGGAAAUAUGCCCUAGAGGCAAUAAUAAAAUGGUUAUUAUUAUAUUUCCUUGUUCAUGAUAAUUGUCUAUUGUUCAUGCUAUAAUUGUGUUAUCCGGAAAUCGUAAUACAUGUGUGAAUACAUAGACCACAACAUGUCCCUAGUGAGCCUCUAGUUGACUAGAUCGUUGAUCAACAGUUAGUCAUGGUUUCCUGACUAUGGACAUUGGAUGUCAUUGAUAACGGGAUCACAUCAUUAGGAGAAUGAUGUGAUGGACAAGACCCAAUCCUAAGCAUAGCACAAGAUCGUGUAGUUCGUUUGCUAGAGUUUUUCCAAAUGUCAAGUAUCAUUUCCUUAGACCAUGAGAUUGUGCAACUCCCGGAUACCAUAGGGUGCUUUGGGUGUGCCAAACGUCACAACGUAACUGGAUGGCUAUAAAGGUACACUACGGGUAUCUCCGAAAGUGUCUGUUGGGUUGGCAUGAAUCGAGACUGUGAUUUGUCACUCCGUAUGACGGAGAGGUAUCUCUGGGCCCACUCGGUAAUGCAUCAUCAUAAUGAGCUCAAUGUGACUAAGGAGUUAGCCACGGGAUCAUGCGUUAUGGUACGAGUAAAGUGACUUGCCGGUAACGAGAUUGAACAAGGUAUUGGGAUACCGACGAUCGAAUCUCGGGCAAGUAACGUACCGAUUGACAAAGGGAAUUGUAUACGGGAUUGAUUGAAUCCUCGACAUCGUGGUUCAUCCGAUGAGGUCAUCGUGGAACAUGUGGGAGCCAACAUGGGUAUCCAAAUCCCGCUGUUGGUUAUUGACCGGAGAGUCGUCUUGGUCAUGUCUGCAUGUCUCCCGAACCCGUAGGGUCUACACACUUAAGGUUCGGUGACGCUAGAGUUGUAGAGAUAUUAGUAUGCGGUUAACCGAAAGUUGUUCGGAGUCCCGGAUGAGAUCCCGGACGUCACGAGGAGUUCCGGAAUGGUCCGGAGGUAAAGAUUUAUAUAUGGGAAGUCCUAUUUUGGCCACCGGAAAAUGUUCGGGAUUUUUGGUAUUGUACCGGGAAGGUUCUAGAAGGUUCGGAAGUGGGGCCCACCUGCAUGGGGGACCCACAUGAACGUGGGUAGUGGGGGCAAGGCCCCACACCCCUGGUCAAGGCACACCAAGAUCCCACCUUAGAAGGAAUAAGAUCAUAUCCCGAAGGGAUAAGAUCAAGAUCCUAAAAAAAGGGAUAACAAUCGGUGGGGAAGGGAAAUGAUGGGAUUUCUUUCCCCCACCUUUGCCAACGCCCCAAUGGACUUGGAGGGCAAGAAACCAGCCCCCUCCACCCCUAUAUAUAGUGGGGAGGCGCAUGGGAGCAGGACCCCAAGCCCUGGCGCCUCCCUCCCUCCCGUGACACCUCUUCCUCCUGCUUGCGCUUGGCAAAGCCCUGCCGGGAUCCCGCUACUUCCACCACCACGCCGUCGUGCUGUUGGAUCUCCAUCAACUUCUUCUCCCCCCUUGCUGAAUUAAGAAGGAGGAGGAGUCCCCGCUCCGUACGUGUGUUGAACGCGGAGGUGCCGUCCGUUCGGCGCUAGGAUCAUCGGUGAUUUGGAUCACGACGAGUACGACUCCAUCAACCCCGUUCUCUUGAACGCUUCCGCGCGCGAUCUACAAGGGUAUGUAGAUGCACUCCCCUCUCUCUCGUUGCUAGAUGACUCCAUAGAUUGAUCUUGGUGACACGUAGAAAAUUUUAAAUUUCUGCUACGAUCCCCAACAUGUUCUGCAAAUUCGGUCCAAAUAGCAUGAAUAAGAAAAUGCACAACUCUUAUUCCAAAAGACCUGGAAAGAACUAACACUUCCAUACAAUUGAGAAAAUAAAAAUCAUGUAAUACUUCUUAACAACCGGUAUGUGGAUUGAAAUUUACCUCGAAAUAAUAUAUGCAUUCAGAUUUAACUAUGUAUAAUCCACACCAAAACUCCUACAUAUAAUACAAACAAUGAAGUAAAUAAAAUGGUGUGACCUGGCUCUUUAUUUAUCUGAGUAGAAAAUGCUACAGAAUCUGGCAGUCAGGUUAUUGCAGCAAUUAUCUAAAUUAAAUAACUCAACAGAAAAACUGUGCAGGAUGGUGUCUCUCCUUUCUCCUUUCAAAAACUGAGAACUAAAACCAACUCAGAUGUGAAGAGCAGGGGGGAUGAGGAGGCGGAGGCAAACCUGAAAUGCCCACCGCACGCGACCACCGCCGAUUGUCAGAGCCCAACCUUGUAACAGCGAUGGUGCAAAUGAAUUGCUUAUACUACAUUUAUCCAAAGAUACCAGAGCUGUGAGAAGCAAAUCACCAACAGAAUAGGAAGAGCUAGGAACCUGUAUUUGCCCAUUGCCAGGCCAUCGACUUACUUGCUGCUUGGGUGGCAUUGCCUAUGUUAGGUCCACGUAAUAUAUCCAUUAUUUGGCAAAACUGACCGAGAUAUACUGCAAAUGAAAAGUAACAACACUGAGAAAAGAAAUAUUGGGAAUGAAAGGUAACAACACUAAGAAGAAUUGUAUAUAUAAUUGCACGUGAUGCAUAUAGGGUCUUGCCAUUCUUUGAGUGGCAAAGGUCAUCCUUGUAGCGAUGAGAUGCCUCAAAUUUGUGAGCAGCUUCCUGUAUAGCCUCACUUUAUUUCCCCAUCUACAAUGGCCAUCAGAGCUUAGAAAGUAGAUAGUGCCAGGUGCCCCUAUGCAAUGGUAUAUAAAAUGGUUGGUGUAAGCAUAUGCAUGUACUAGUAUUAGUAGAGCAAACGAACACAUUGUUUGAUCGUAUAGGUUAUGUAGGUCUUGUGUUCAACCUUCAUCGGUUUUAUGGAUUUAGUUGUAGGUGAUGUAUGAUGAUAACCAUGAAGAGGGUUUGAAAGAUUAGUAUGUACAGGAAGGCAAAUAAAAUUAGGUAUAAUGGCAUGACAAUAUAAAUGACGAGAAAACACCUCUCUAAACUUCUUGCAUGAUGUGCCGAGGAAAAAAAGUAGAGAAACAAAAGUACAAAUUUAAACUAUUGUCAGGCUUGAAGAUGUUAGCUAAACCAGUCAAAGAAAAUUAGCAUUCAAGUUUCCUUCUCAACUAAACUGAAAAUGCAAAAUUGUAAACUGAAUUCAAGCAAGAAGCAUAGAAAAUAAACUGAAUACCAAACCAACUUUCUAUAUACUGCAGCUAAUAUCUUUCAUAUUGACAUAAAUAGAGAAGCUUAGUAAAAUCAGGUAAGAAUUCUAAAGAGCACUCUGUUAUGUUCAAUGACACAUAUGUAAAGGGUUAGCCAAACCACAUCAGUAAACUAAACAUGUUAGCUCUAUAGUAACAAAAUUAAGAAAAUGGAUGACUGCAUCCAGGAAGGAGCAAUGGAUCGGAAGCUCACCUCAACCAGCUUCAAAACUGGUAGUGGCCUUCACAUCCAGGCUGGGGAGAGAUCGACGGUGCCCUCGCUGGACUCGGCAGCAGAGGAAGCUAUGCAGCUGGGGAGAGAUCGACGGCGCCCAGGCUGGGGAGGACUCUGCUAUGGAAGUGGCAUUGAUGUAUUGAAGAGAAGUGCGAUGAUAUGCAGCAGGAAAAGCACAUGAUAAAGGAAAUUUUAUGAGCUCAAUUUCAGUGUAUAGAGAAAAAAUUAGUUGUUCAGUUGUAUAUACGGUGGGAAUCAAUCAAUGCAAUAUCUCGAGGGGUGCUAUACCUACUGCUCUGCCUCUAUUUCAGAACAUAGAGCUUCGCUCUUUUUUUGUCCAUGCCUAUUGAUUCACGGCUCUCUCUAUCUCUACUCUUUUCACAAAACCGGUAGCUUCCAGCAUCAAGCAAUUUCUUAAGUCAUUAGUGACUGAGAAAGACGAGGAAUGAAGCCAUACGAGCAGUAGGAAUUCGUGCAUUUGUUCUGCAAAACCCGAAAAGAAAAAUCAAACCCUGAGCCUAUUCCCUAUGACUUUCUUAGACACAGAACGACCACAAAGGAAGAUUCCUUUUAGCACCAUUUGAUUCUAAUACUCUGAACUGUGCAAAAUCAAAAUGCCACAUGCAUAUGUCAUAAGAUAUAAAAUAUUUACAUUAACAAUAUUUGCGUAAAAUGAAAAGUCUGUACUAAUUGAUGCUAGUCGUUGUACUAAUUGAUGCUAGUCCACCUGAUGCUAGUGUUUUUAGAACUGAAAAGAUUAAGUAAACAGAGAGGGGGACAAGUAUUGGACGGGAGAGGGGGAAAGGGGCAGGAAAGGGAGAGGAGCAAAACAAGAAGAUAGACACACAUGCGGACCUCCAAAGCCAAAAAAAUCACAUAGCAAGAGACAACACGUACUCAAAUCUGAAAAGGAAGAAGGAGAACCACCGUUGGUGGAGGUAGAGCAGGAGAUGGCGCAGAGGGGUGAACAGACCUGCCUGUUGGUUGAGGCCAUCCGCGAUGACCUCCAGCCUCGCUGCUCCUCCCCCCAUCGGCAUCCUCCGUUACUCCUCCACCCACCCUGACGCCCUACUCUCCCAUGGCGACCACCUGCGCCUAAUCUGAGAAGAAGCCAGAUGAGAGGAAGAGGCAAGCGACGGUUGGCUGGGCAAGGGCCUCCUCAUCCAUAGCGCGUGGUCGGGCCGUGCUAGCCUGGUGUGGACGCAGGGGAGGAGGGGUGGUGGAGGCGGAGGUGGAGGAGACUGAGGCGACCGAGAGGGAGGGGAGGGCUCCGGGCGGAGCGGAUCCUGCUUCCGCCGGCUCUCUCACGGCCGACCGUGGAUGGAGGAGGUGAGAGGAGGAGGAGGCGAAGGCGAGUGGGACGGGAGGCGGCGGCGGCGACAGGAGGAGGAGCUGGGGAAGAGAAGAGGCAGGAGGGGGAGGAGAGUGCGGG